rnacentral:rRNA from 1 species
GAAACGACUCUCGGCAAUGGAUAUCUCGGCUCUCGCAUCGAUGAUGAGCGCAGCGAAAUGCGAUACGUGGUGCGAAUUGCAGAAUCCCGCGAAC